rnacentral:lncRNA from 1 species
GAUGCUUGAUUUGUCCAUUGCAGGACAUCGAAGCCUUGGCUUUUCCGGUGGUUCUGUUCCAGGAAGGCGCGAUACCUCGGGAACGAAGUCCAUCAUGGUUGCUGGUGCAUUUACAUACAGAUUUACUGCCUUUUGUGCGCUCAUCUGGGAUGUAGCCUUGCCUGGUCCUGCACAGAGGCCUCGACCGGGUCCGGAGGAAUACUCCAAGAUAUCCCCCACAGCUUUAAGAUGUAGGAAAUAAAUCAGAAUGUUUCAUCUAAUAAAAAUCUAUUAAAUUAAGCUGGGGGCCGUAAGCUUUUUGACGCACGCAAGUUUCCGUACAACGAUCAGAUGUAUGGAAGGUGUGGAUGCCUGUCUUGGACUGGCAUACAAAUCUGCCUUCGUCCUAACCAUUAUGCUCAAGGAAUGGUAUUUUAAAUUAUUUCCUUGCUGGUAUCAGAUAAGGUCCAGGGCAGGAGGGACCUUGCAACAAUGCGGCAUUUGACCGCAGAGCCAGCAGGUAUGACAAAGCGCUAGCGGUGGAUUGAGGCACAAUAAUUUCAUUGCUUUGUUACGUUUCACGUGCGACCUCCAAAUUCUGGGACGCAGAAGGCGCUGAACUUGCCCCACACUGGACUCCAUCUGACGAGAAAGCGCUCCUUUUUCAAGCGGAAACGGUUACGGAUAAGGAGUAUGUAGUUUAAUAUGACAUUAAUCUAUGAUAUGGUGCGGGUGUAUGCUUUUUCCUGAGCGGCGCUGUCUUACACAAAGGGCUGGGCUGCACAUGGAUUCAUGGAUCAAGCACGGACCCCGACCUCACCAAUCGUGCAAUGCCAGCGUCCAUACAUAGUAAAAAUUAAUUGUUGCUAAUGUUUUUCUUAUCAUCGGUGAUGCAGCGGCAAGAACAGCGCAACAUUUGUUUAUGCUUGCAGGUAUGGGGUCACGCACCCCCAACCAUGUAACACACACACAUACACAUGCGUAAACGCACGCGUGGCCAAUGCUUGCUGUCGUCUAUCUACAGCGCCAUGCAAAUCAACAGUUGUGCCUGCGUGGUUUCCAAACUUUGUGAGUAUAUGAGUGUGUGUGUGUAUAUGAGUGUGUGUGUGUGUGGUUGUUGCAGUGGGCUCCAGACUCACGAAGAGUAGAGCCAGGGGGUCAGCUGGCCGUGCACUGCAUUACAGACUAACAUACACACUAGACUCCCACCCAAAUGAGACAACGCAAGUCAUCUAGACAGCCAAAUACAUGUCAUGAUAAUAUCAUCCAUACGGAUGGUGGGCUUAAUGUAUUAGACCAUAGUAAGGAAUGAAGCCGUGGAGGAGUAGGACGGAUGUGCGGAGUGCUGGGUGGUGCACGGGGCGGCCGUUGCGGGGGUUAUCCCUGAGCACGUCAGUGGUCCACCGAGGGGUUGGAUCUGAAGGCGGGAUAGCAGCAUGUACCGAAGGUAACUAGGGUGGGCAGAAGGAGCGAUACAAUUGUAUGAUGCUUUGGUCGGAUGUAGGUAUGCAAGCUAAUGGGUACAGCGGCAUA